GUGUGUGUGUGUGUGUGUGUGGGGCAGUGUGUGUAUCGGGCUAGAGUUCACUCCUACUACUGGGACCACCAGGAAGUGGUGAGAGUGAACUCUAGCCCGGAGCUCCAGGGCUAGAGUUCACCCUCGUGAGAGCCGGAGCGUUGCCGACUGGCUGCACGGUGCCUGUGGAACGGGGAGGGAGAUCGGCCGGCAGGGGAAAGCCUUGGGGGGGGACCUGUUGCCCCCCCCCAUCCACCAGUGAUAUAUACUGCCCCUAUGUGUGUCUCUUUAUCUCCAGCCCCUCUGUGUGCCUUUUUGUCUCCCC